rnacentral:rRNA from 1 species
AUUGAACGCUGGCGGCAGGCCUAACACAUGCAAGUCGAACGGUAGCACAGAGAGCUUGCUCUCGGGUGACGAGUGGCGGACGGGUGAGUAAUGUCUGGGAAACUGCCCGAUGGAGGGGGAUAACUACUGGAAACGGUAGCUAAUACCGCAUAAUGUCGCAAGACCAAAGAGGGGGACCUUCGGGCCUCUUGCCAUCGGAUGUGCCCAGAUGGGAUUAGCUUGUUGGUGAGGUAAUGGCUCACCAAGGCGACGAUCCCUAGCUGGUCUGAGAGGAUGACCAGCCACACUGGAACUGAGACACGGUCCAGACUCCUACGGGAGGCAGCAGUGGGGAAUAUUGCACAAUGGGCGCAAGCCUGAUGCAGCCAUGCCGCGUGUGUGAAGAAGGCCUUCGGGUUGUAAAGCACUUUAAGCGGGGAGGAAGGAAAUGCGGUUAAUAACCGUGUUGAUUGACGUUACCCGCAGAAGAAGCACCGGCUAACUCCGUG